rnacentral:tRNA from 1 species
AGGCUCAUAGCUCAGUUGGUUAGAGCACCACCUUGACAUGGUGGGGGUCGCUGGUUCGAGUCCAGUUGAGCCUA